UCGAUCAAAAUAGCCAAUCAAAUAUAGUAAAAUUGGAAGGAUACAGAGAAGAUUAGCAUGGCUUCUGCGCAAGGAUGACAUGCAAAUUCACGAAGCAUUCCAUAUUAAA